rnacentral:rRNA from 1 species
AACGAACGCUGGCGGCAGGCCUAACACAUGCAAGUCGAGCGCACCUUCGGGUGAGCGGCGGACGGGUUAGUAACGCGUGGGAACGUGCCCUUCUCUACGGAAUAGCCUCUGGAAACGGAGAGUAAUACCGUAUACGCCCUUUGGGGGAAAGAUUUAUCGGAGAAGGAUCGGCCCGCGUUAGAUUAGGUAGUUGGUGGGGUAACGGCCUACCAAGCCUACGAUCUAUAGCUGGUUUUAGAGGAUGAUCAGCAACACUGGGACUGAGACGCGGCCCAGACUCCUACGGGAGGCAGCAGUGGGGAAUCUUAGACAAUGGGGGCAACCCUGAUCUAGCCAUGCCGCGUGAGUGAUGAAGGCCUUAGGGUCGUAAAGCUCUUUCGCCUGUGAUGAUAAUGACAGUAGCAGGUAAAGAAACCCCGGCUAACUCCGUG